rfam:Xenopus tropicalis strain Nigerian scaffold_145_contig_11, whole genome shotgun sequence.
GUUUCUGUAGUGUAGUGGUUAUCACGUUCGCCUCACACGCGAAAGGUCCCCGGGCAGAAACA